AUGAUUUGGUCACAGAAAGAUGUAAAACAAAAUCAAGCUUAUGUACAGUCUUCUGAUAUAUACUUAUCAUUACUUGAAGCUUGCUUGUAUGAUCGAACUACCAUAGUGGGAUAUGGGGUCCAUCAAAUCCUCCUGGCUCCAGCUAUCAGAGGGGACAAGGUAUUUGGUGCGAUACCCUUGGGCUUACAUUUCGACCAAGUAGUUUCGGUUGACAUAUCAUUGUCGAUUGGUGAAGGUAAGUGCCUUAGCUUAUCUUUUCCCUACUUUUCUGCAGGCACUUACAUUUUCUUUUUUGGAUUUAGAUAA
rnacentral:rRNA from 1 species